rnacentral:rRNA from 1 species
AUUGAACGCUGGCGGCAUGCCUUACACAUGCAAGUCGAACGGCAGCACGGGUGCUUGCACCUGGUGGCGAGUGGCGAACGGGUGAGUAAUACAUCGGAACGUACCUUAUCGUGGGGGAUAACGCAGCGAAAGCUGUGCUAAUACCGCAUACGCCCUGCGGGGGAAAGCGGGGGAUCGCAAGACCUCGCGCGAUUAGAGCGGCCGAUGCCUGAUUAGCUUGUUGGUGGGGUAAAAGCCCACCAAGGCGACGAUCAGUAGCUGGUCUGAGAGGACGAUCAGCCAAACUGGGACUGAGACACGGCCCAGAAUCCUUCGGGAGGCAGCAGUGGGUAAUUUUGGACAAUGGGGGCAACACUGAUCCAGCAAUGCCGCGUGAGUGAAGAAGGACUUCGGGUUGUAAAGCUCUUUUGUCAGGGAAGAAACACCGGCUCUAACACAGUCCGGGAAUGACGGUACCUGAAGAAUAAGCACCGGCUAACUACGUGCCAGCCGCCGCCGUAA